ACACGACUACAUUAGAUACCCGGGUAGUCCAGGGUGUAAACGCUGCAGACUUGGUGUUGGAAGUCCUUUGGGGGCAUUCAGUGCCGGAGAGAAGUUGUUAAGUCUGCUACUUGGGGAGUACGUCCGCAAGGAUGAAACUUAAAGGAAUUGGCGGGGGAGCACCGCAACGGGAGGAGCGUGCGGUUUAAUUGGAUUCAACACCGUAAACUCACCAGGGAAGACUGUUACAUGAAAGCCGAGAUGAAGACUCUGCUAGAUUUUCAG
rnacentral:rRNA from 1 species